rnacentral:tRNA from 1 species
UGCCGGAUCGUCUAGUGGUAGGACGUCUGUUUCUGGAACAGAAAACCGGGGUUCGAGUCCCUGUCCGGCAGCCA